GACGAACGCUGGCGGCGUGCUUAACACAUGCAGGUCGAGCGAGGCCCACCUUUCGGGGUGGUGCCCUAGCGGCGAACGGGUGAGUAACACGUGGGCAACCUGCCCUCAGCUCUGGGAUAACUCCAAGAAAUUGGGGCUAAUACCGGAUAUGACUGCUGACCGCAUGGUCUGGUGGUGGAAAGAUUUAUCGGCUGGGGAUGGGCCCGCGGCCUAUCAGCUUGUUGGUGGGGUAGNGGCCUACCAAGGCGACGACGGGUAGCCGGCCUGAGAGGGUGGCCGGCCACACUGGGACUGAGACACGGCCCAGACUCCUACGGGAGGCAGCAGUGGGGAAUAUUGCGCAAUGGGCGGAAGCCUGACGCAGCGACGCCGCGUGGGGAUGACGGCCUGGUU
rnacentral:rRNA from 1 species